AAAAUAAAAAAGAGCAGGGUGCGUCCAUUUGUAACAGCAGGGCAUGCGGGGCAGGCCUUCGGCCUUGGGGUGGAGACACCGCUGGGGCGUACUCAGCCACAUGGCAGUGCUUGCCUUUGAGUGCCAGCUCUGCUCUCAGGUGCUUUCUGCCGCUGAGCAUCCUGGGAAGCAACAGGGAUGGCUCAGGGAGUUGGGCUCUGGUCACGUGGACUGAGCUCCCAGCUCCCAGUUUUGGUCUGGUCCUGCCCUGGCUGUUGCAGGCGUUUGGAGAGUGAACCAGCAGAUGGGAGUUCAGGCUGACUCUCAGAUUCCAAAAUGAAACAUAGUGCAUCUGUUAAUGGUGUGAAAAUUCAGCUCCCCCUUUCUUUUUUAUUUAUUAUUAUUAUUUGACAGGUAGAGUUAUAGACAGUGAGAGAGAGAGAGACAGAGAGAAAUGUCUUCCUUCCGUUGGUUCACCCCUCAAAUGGUCACUAUGGCCGGCGCACUGUGCUGAUCCGAAGCCCGGAGCCAGGUGCUUCUCCUGGUCUCCCAUGCGGUGCAGGGCCCAAGCACCUGGGCCAUCCUCCACUGCACUCUCUGGCCACAGCAGAGAGCUGACCUGGAAGAGGAGCAACUGGGACUGGAACCCGGCGUCCAUAUGCAGGUGGAAGAUUAACCAAGUGAGCCACGGCGCCGGCCCCAACACCCCGUUUCUUAUAUGGGUUGUUAUUAGAGGCUGUACUGGUGGAGCUGGAUUGCUGCAACACGGCGUGGCCCAUGAGGCUACAGUCGUUCACAUCUGGCCUUGAGCAGAAAAGGUGUCUUCACCCCUGGUCUACCAGGAACUCCAGUGCCAGGGACUCAGGCCUCUUCCAUGGUGGGGACUGGGCUCCACCACUCUGAGGGACACAUUCCUGGACUGUGGCUCGUCACCAUGCCCGCGUUUAAAGCAGCCAGGAGGACACGGAAGGAACAUGGAGGAGAAUGGUCGAUGCUCUCCCGAAGGGGCAGAACCUUAGUAGCUGGACCCUUCUAGCUGCAAGGGAGGCUGGGAAAUGAGCCUGCCUAAAACCUGGAGACCUGCUACUCCUGUGGACGGGAAGCUGUGCCGGGAAUCUUCAGGAAAGCCAGAACUGAGUCUCCCACACUCUGAGAGAAUCAUGUCUCUUUGCUUCGACUUUUGUGCCACACAGAACAAAUGGUGAGAGGUUUUGGAGUCAGAAGACUGAAGCUUGACUCCCAGCCGCUUGCCCAGUCGCUUGCUGGCUUUGGACAGGUCAACCCCAGUCCUCGCUUAUAAAAUGGGGGGAGCGCUUGCCUUACAGGUUGUUGUGAGUGUCUGUGGGUUUAAGAAGUAGACACUACAGCAUGAGCUGUAAAGUGUUAGUAACGUGGGAGGGGUGGCUGUUAGGGUCACGGGCAGCCGCUCCGUUUCUCAUCAGAUGAUGGACGCAUGCGUCUCUCUCAGCUGGAGUCUCUGCUGGAGAUCACGCUCACUGGAGACCAGGAGGGGACAAGUGAGGCUCACCUGACUUCAUACCAGGUGUCCUGAGAUUGGACUUUUUUUUAAAUAUAGGUGAAGGUGUAUAUACUUUGUGUGUGUGUGUGGUUUUUUUAAAAGAUUUAUUUAUCUAUUUGAAAGACA
ensembl:lncRNA